AGGUUUUAAAGAAAUUAAAUG
rnacentral:miRNA from 1 species